rnacentral:lncRNA from 1 species
AUGCAGCAGCCCAGGGUUCCUGCCCAGGGUUUUGCUAAUGAGCAGCAGAAGCCCUCCAACUUGUCCCGCUCUCCUCCCCUGAGCCGGGGCAGUGGCGCAGUGGUAGAGUCCCCUCUCCUGGACCCUCUCCUGCUUCACCAGGAAGCCCAAGGGUGGCUGGACGCUCACAUCCAGAGGAAGUGGCUGCAGCUGCUGUGGGGGCUCCCACACCCGGUCCAUCGCUCUCUGGAGCAGUCUGUCCCAGUCCUUCCCAGGUUCCUGGCCUGCACCACCCUUCAAGAAGCCACAGGCCAGCAGAGGCCCCUUUUCAAGGCAGAACAGCGGCAGGACCUGGAACACCAUCUGAGAGAAAAAAUGGUGCAUCGUAAGUGGGGCCUCCCAAGGAGGAUCCAGAGGGCUCUCCGGUGGCCUCUUUCUCUUGAGCUGCCCUCUGCUGCCCCAGAAGCUCAAUGGGAAAGGCCCCCUCUCAAAGGCUGGAGUGCCACUAGACAAUGUAACCCAGCCACAACAUGGACUACUCCUGCCAGGACAAUGGCGGCUGAUGGCAGCUGGAGCUUGCCAAAAGCAGCUCCUGGUGCAGAACUGGCCAAGGAGCCCUCCCCUCUGAGUGCCAGGCCUUUGGUCAUGCAGCAGGAAGCUCUCCUGGGGGCAGAGAGAGAACAGCAGGGUGGGGAUUGCCCCCAGGAGGGUCUGCCUUUUUUCAAACUAUCUUGUUCACAGUCACCUCCAGGCAGCAUCCAGGCUGCCCCAUUUGAUGGUCUCUGGAGCACACCUGAGGUAAAGGGCCUUUCUAGAUGGAACCGGCAGGACUGGGAGAGGCAACUGCUCCACAGGGAUAUGCUCUGCAUGAUCGGUGAAGCCUCUUCCCCGGGGAGCCUUUCUUUUGCAAAAGCCACUUCUCUGAAAAGAAAGCCAGCCAUAGGCAUGAAAAAGCAGAAGCUGGAGGUUUCUCCCCUGGGGGUCUCUGAGGUCACGGACGACCUGGGAUGGCUGUUGCAGGCUGGCCAAGGUGGUGCUUCCAGGAUGACCUUUGUCCCAGCAGAAAAGAGGGUCUCCGGAGCUCCCGAGAGAUCCUCGGUGGCCUUUUACCUACAAGAACAACCAACUUUCCAACAAGAGGGACCCAGGACACUCCAGCUUUCAAAAUGGCUGGAAAGGGGCCAGAAGCAGGUGGACUCAACUGAAUCCCAAGAACUCAGGGCUUCUCCAGGCCCUCAGACAAUGGACCCCAGGCAGCUGUUGUUACCCCUAGUGGGGAGGGACCUGGGGCUUCUCCACCAAGAAAGCCCUGGUCCCGCUGGCCGAGCCUCCUGCGCUCUUGGCCAAGAAGACGCUCGGGAGCCCCAAUCCAUGAGCACCCUGGAAGAUCCCUCCCGCAGGCCCAACCUGGCUAGGACCAGGUCGAGGGUAACGGUCAAGGGGGAGGGUUUGGGCAGCCAGGCUGGAUCUUUCCCUGAGGGAAAGGGGACGUCCCUGACCCACUCGGGGGCUGGGCCAGGAGACGAAGGCAGCAAAGCACAUCGUCUGACGGAUGACCGGAAACGUUACUUUGAAUUUCACCUGCGAGAAAAGCUCCUGCACCAACGCUGGGGGGUCCCAAGGCGGGUGCAGGAGGUUCUGCUGCAACCCACUAGACCAUGA